UCUAGAUCCUUGAGUCCAUAGUUCAGUAGGUGAGUGUUAUAAAUAUCUUCAGCCCUUCCCUAAGCUUAAAAGUUGCUAAGAAUUACACCCGCCAGACUCCUUUGCAGCUUGAGUUCCACAUAAAAAUUAGAUUCUACCCCUGAGUGGCAGUAGCAGGAGAUUUAGAAAGCAGAAUUGCAACAGAAACUCUUGCUGCUGCUAUUGGUUCUGGCAAGCAAGGUCCUGAAACAGGUUAUUGGAAGUUCCUGGUGAUGGCAGCCAUUCUCUGAUUUCUUGCAUUGAGCUUCCAGUUCUCAUGUGUGACAGGCAGUUGGGAAAGCAGCUGGUGGGGAAUGCAGCAGCUUCUUGACAACCGAAUCACAGCUAGUAUGAUGUAUCCUUGAACUAAACAGUCCAGUGGUCAUCCCCUGACUGCUGCUGCCCCAGCUCAUCCAAUCAUUUGCUUCUUUGAUUCCUGGGCCAGGUGCAUAUUUUGCUCCGUGAUGAAGGACAUCAACAAGUUUCUGUUGCAGAAUACCCCCAACAUUCAAACUGGAGUUUGGAGGUGAAGGGAACCUGAAAAAGCUGAUCUACUGGGAUGCAUAAAAUCUGCUUCAGGACUGAUGAAGUUGCAUUUCUGAACUAGUAUUAAAAGGGUGAGAGAGAUUUAUGUGAAACAACUGAAACAUUUCAGUGUCAAAAUACUCCCAAAUACAGAACAACAGAGUAGAUCUGUGUGCUCACUCUUGCAAGAAAGGAAGAAGGAGGAUCUGGAGGAAAUUGAACAAUAAAGCUUCCUAGCUGAAUCCAGUAAAUUUUCCCAACCUCUCCAGAAUAUGAAAAAAAAAAAUGUUGCUUUUCUGUUUUGGUAAUUUUUCACAGUUAUGAAAGAAUUGGUGAGAGCAGUUUAGGAGAUGCAAUGACACUGUAUAACAGAAGAAAAAUAAAAGGUAAUAAGUA
rnacentral:lncRNA from 1 species